GACAGGUUAACGAGUUACACCGCUAAGGGCAGCUUUCAGGGCCGGGCACGAAUUUCCCUCGAAAACCGGCAUACCGGCAACGGUAUCGUGAGUUCGAAUCUCACCCUGUCCG
rnacentral:tRNA from 1 species